rnacentral:rRNA from 1 species
GUAAAUAAUUAAGGGCGUAUGGUGGAUGCCUAGGCUCUCAGAGGCGAUGAAGGACGUGAUAAGCUGCGAAAAGCUCCGUUUAGGUGCAAAUAACCUUUGAUGCGGAGAUCUCCGAAUGGGAUAACCCAAUAUGUUGAAGACAUAUUAUACCGUAAGGUAGGCAAACGCAGGGAACUGAAACAUCUAAGUACCUGCAGGAGAAGAAAACAAACGUGAUUCCCCCAGUAGCGGCGAGCGACCGGGGAAAAGCCCAAACCGUUAUUGUUUCGGCAUUAACGGGGUAGUAGGACUGCAAGCUUGAUGAAAUAAAUGAAAUGGAACACCUUGGAAAAUGUGAUCACAGAGGGUGAUAAUCCCGUACAUGCAAGUUUAUGAAUCAUAGCAGUAUCCUGAGUAAGUCGGGACACGUGUAAUCCUGACCGAAUCCGCCGGGACCAUCCGGCAAGGCUAAAUACUCCUGAGAGACCGAUAGUGAACCAGUACCGUGAGGGAAAGGUGAAAAGCACUUCGAACAGAAGAGUGAAAUAGUCCCUGAACCCAUACGCCUACAAGCUGUCGGAGCCGCUUCGUGCGGUGACGGCGUGCCUUUUGCAUAAUGAGCCUACGAGUUACUCAUCACCAGCGAGGUUAAGUACUUCAGGUACGUAAGCCGAAGCGAAAGCGAGUCUGAAUAGGGCGUCAAGUUGGUGGUGGUAGACGCGAAACCUUAGUGAUCUACCCAUGGGCAGGGUGAAGGUUUGGUAACACAAACUGGAGGCCCGAACCGGUAAACGUUGAAAAGUUUUCGGAUGACCUGUGGGUAGGGGUGAAAGGCCAAUCAAACUGGGAAAUAGCUCGUACUCUCCGAAAUGCAUUUAGGUGCAGCCUCUGUUGUUUUGUUCUAGAGGUAGAGCUACUGAUUGGAUGCGAGGGCUUCACCGCCUAUCAAAUCCGGCCAAACUCCGAAUGCUAGAACAUGAAGACAGGGAGUGAGCCAGCGGGUGCUAAGGUCCGUUGACGAAAGAGGGAGAACUCAGACCAUCAGCUAAGGUCCCCAAUUAUAUGCUAAGUUGGAAUUAAAACGGGGUGGGACUGCUUAGACAGCUAGGAUGUUGGCUUGGAAGCAGCCAUUCAUUUAAAGAGUGCGUAACAGCUCACUAGUCGAGCGGUCCUGCAUGGAUAAUACGCGGGCAUAAGCAUAUAACCGAAGCUAUGGGAUUGUAGAUGAUACAAUCGGUAGGAGAGCAUUCCAUUCAGCAUAGAAGCAGUAUCGUGAGGUAUUGUGGAGCGGAUGGAAAAGCAAAUGUAGGCAUAAGUAACGAUAAUGCGGGUGAGAACCCCGCACGCCGAAAGAUCAAGGAUUCCCCGGCAAUGUCAAUCAUCCGGGGGUAAGUCGGAUCCUAAGGGUAAGCCGAGUGGCGAUCCCGAUGGCAAACAGGUUAAUAUUCCUGUACUGAUCAUAACUGCGAUGCAGCGACGCAGAGGUGACACUGCUGCGUACUGACGGAAUAGUACGUUGAAACCCGUAUUCUUUGAUACCGGUAGUGAAGCACGCCGGUAGAGAUGAAAGGUGAUAGUACCGCAAUGCUUCGGUUGCGCGGAUAACGCAGGUAAGCUGACUGCCAAGAAAACCUGCUAAGCUUCAGGUAAUGAUCAUCCGUACUGUAAACGGACACACGUGAUCAGGUAGAAAAUACUAAGGCGCUCGAGAGAUUCAUGGUUAAGGAACUAGGCAAAAUGGUCCUGUAACUUCGGGAUAAAGGACGCUCUUGUGAAAGAGCCGCAGAUAAUAGGCCCAGGCGACUGUUUACCAAAAACACAUGGCUAUGCUAAUUCGCAAGAAGAUGUAUAUGGCCUGACACCUGCCCGGUGCCGGAAGGUUAAGAGGAGAGCUCAGAGGUAACUCGAAGGUUUGAAUUGAAGCCCCGGUAAACGGCGGCCGUAACUAUAACGGUCCUAAGGUAGCGAAAUUCCUUGUCGGGUAAGUUC